AACGAACGCUGGCGGCAUGCCUAACACAUGCAAGUCGAGCGAAUGGAUUAAGAGCUUGCUCUUAUGAAGUUAGCGGCGGACGGGUGAGUAACACGUGGGUAACCUGCCCAUAAGACUGGGAUAACUCCGGGAAACCGGGGCUAAUACCGGAUAACAUUUUGAACCGCAGGGUUUGAAAUUGAAAGGCGGCUUCGGCUGUCACUUAUGGAUGGCCCCGCGUCGCAUUAGCUAGUUGGUGAGGUAACGGCUCACCAAGGCAACGAUGCGUAGCCGACCUGAGAGGGUGAUCGGCCACACUGGGACUGAGACACGGCCCAGACUCCUACGGGAGGCAGCAGUAGGGAAUCUUCCGCAAUGGACGAAAGUCUGACGGAGCAACGCCGCGUGAGUGAUGAAGGCUUUCGGGUCGUAAAACUCUGUUGUUAGGGAAGAACAAGUGCUAGUUGAAUAAGCUGGCACCUUGACGGUACCUAACCAGAAAGCCACGGCUAACUACGUGCCAGCCGCCGCGGUAA
rnacentral:rRNA from 1 species